UUGGAGGGCAAGUCUGGUGCCAGCAGCCGCGGUAAUUCCAGCUCCAAUAGCGUAUAUUAAAGUUGUUGCAGUUAAAAAGCUCGUAGUUGAAUUUCGGGAUCAGAGUGUCGGUCGUGCCUCGGUACGCACUGGUAUUAUUGGUUCCUACCUUCUGAAGAACCGCGAUGUCAUUAAUUUGGUGUCGUGGGGAAUCAGGACUGUUACUUUGAAAAAAUUAGAGUGUUUAAAGCAGGCUUACGCUUGAAUACAUUAGCAUGGAAUAAUGAAAUAGGACGUUUGAUUCUAUUUUGUUGGUUUCUAGGAUUGACGUAAUGAUUAAUAGGGAUAGUUGGGGGCAUUAGUAUUCAACUGUCAGAGGUGAAAUUCUUGGAUUUAUUGAAGACUAACUACUGCGAAAGCAUUUGCCAAGGAUGUUUUCAUUGAUCAUGAACGAAAGUUAGGGGAUCGAAGACGAUCAGAUACCGUCGUAGUCUUAACCAUAAACUAUGCCGACUAGGGAUCGGAUGAUGUUAAUUUUUUAAUGACUCAUUCGGCGCCUUACGGGAAACCAAAGUGUUUGGGUUC
rnacentral:rRNA from 1 species